AGUGAACGCUGGCGGUAGGCCUAACACAUGCCAGUCGAACGGCAGCACAGUAAGAGCUUGCUCUUACGGGUGGCGAGUGGCGGACGGGUGAGGAAUACAUCGGAAUCUACUUUUUCGUGGGGGAUAACGUAGGGAAACUUACGCUAAUACCGCAUACGACCUACGGGUGAAAGCAGGGGAUCUUCGGACCUUGCGCGAUUGAAUGAGCCGAUGUCGGAUUAGCUAGUUGGCGGGGUAAAGGCCCACCAAGGCGACGAUCCGUAGCUGGUCUGAGAGGAUGAAACGGCCAAACGGAAACGGAAACACGGCCCAAACCCCCACGGGGGGAAGCGGGGGGAAAAUUUGGAAAGUGGGGGAAGGCCUGACCCAGCCAAACCGGGGGGGUGAAGAAGGCCUUCGGGUUGUAAACCCCUUUUGUGGGGAAAAAAAAGAAGCAGGUUAAAACCCCCGUGUUCGAACGGUACCCAAAAAAAAAGCACCGGCUAACUUCGG
rnacentral:rRNA from 1 species